UUGGGAAGAAGAAGAAGAAUGGCUAUGUAUCCUGCUUUGACCUCCUGAAGGAAAGUAACAGAGCUAAUCCCUAUCAAUCAGUAUUACUUUGCAGUACCAGGUAGAGAAAGAGCAAUGAAGAUGAUGUAUAAAGUUCAAACAGAAGGGGUUGGAUCAAGAGGAUGUCAUUUCCUAGUAUCUGAUGUCAGCUGGCCUAAAUCAAGAAACCUAUAGGGUUUUCAGGAAGGCCUGUUUGGGAAUAGAGGAAAAUCAUUAUGAAGAAUAUGCUGUAUAACAUAAUGGAGCCCUCAGCAAGAAGAAUGAAAAACAACUGAAAGAUUAGAGCAGGAAUGUCGCUGAAAGAGAUGCAUAAGGCUCCUUGCUGAGAUCUUCACAAGAGGGAAGUCUGAGCUUCAGCAACAUGCUGACCUAUUUAACAAUGGGGAUAUCCAUUUCCAGUGAUUUUUUAUAGAAAAGCAUAGCAGGACGACAGACAGCAGGAAUCCAGAUAAUUGAAUUUUCAAACCGCUGUUGUUACUCCAUAGCCACAUCAUUCAGCAGCUGGAUACCAACACCGAUAAUCCAAUAUCUCUUUCGUGAUGCUCAAGUGACAUCUUAGUUUUCCUGAGACAUUAUGGGAAAGCAAGGUUAAAAUUUCAGAAGAUUCAGUGGGAACAUGAUUGGUAUUUUUUAAUGGCCUCCUAGGAGGGACUCACUGAUACUCAAUAAAGACAAGAAAGAGAAGAAUCCCAAGUCCAUGCCAUUGUGAGAGUCUAAUGAAGUGAAACCAGCAAGUUACUCUUCAAGAGAUGAUACCUCUGAAAUUUCUGUCCAUACUUUUUUCUCAGAGUGAUUGUCAGCCCCUAUUUGGCCAAGUACUUGUCCCCAUUCUUGCUCAGCUCACCUUGGAUUGGCAUUGGAGAAUCUGCAGGGGCAUCUCCCUCACACCCAUUCACCUCAUCAUUCACAAUGUUGAUUAUUUCAGUAUAAAGCAUGUCAUUCUGUAAAGUUACUUCAUUGGUAAAAUAAUGAAUAAAACAAUAGA